rnacentral:lncRNA from 1 species
AAUCACAACGAUGAGAGUACUGGCAGACUAGAAAACAUACAACCCCUGUACCAUAAUUAGGUGGUAUAAGGAGUAGAACCACAGUGGACCAACCAAAGGUUCAGUUCAAGUUAAUCAAAUCCUUUGCCAUUAGGGGGCUCCGCCCACAGCACUGUAAAAGUGGGAACAGCAUCUUUUAUUUUCUAUUAUUUCUCCUUCCAGAUACCCACAUACCUCCACCCCAGUACCUGGCAGAGUGCACUCAGUGAACUUUCUUGAGGAUUGUUAACUAACUUCAAGGUUGACCAUUUUUACUUAAUCUGAGAGUAACUGACAUUUUCUGUGGUAUCCUUUUUCAUAUUUGAGCACAAGUGAUUUAGGACUUGGAACGGAGAGCUAGUAGGUGGGGCUAGAAUCGGCACCUGCGGAAAAUCCGACCAAUGAGGAGCGAACGACACAGCGGCCAUCUUGGUAAAGGAAAAGGAACAAGGAAGAAAGUGGAACCAAUUAGCAAGCUAAGCUGGAGUUGGAAUUACCCAGUGAAGUUGUUCUUAAGAAGGCUACUGUAAAACCAGUAACAUGAAGGUGAAUCUGUGGUUUGGAGCUCCCCCUACAGUUUGUUUGAAGACUGGUCUCUCUCAUCUCCAAGAAAAAUGACCACUUUGGAAAAUGAGUUCUUACGCAUGCUUGGAAAUAUUUUUAAUGUGUAUAUAUUGUUUAAAUUUAUGUUUAAAUGUGUACAUGAGGAAUCCGUUUUAUGUUAGACAUAUUUUUUUCGUUUGUUACCUGCUUGCUAGCUGUGGACUGUAUAAUUUAUUUUCCAAUAAGUCAAAGUCUUUGUUUUAGGUCAGAGUGCCAUUUUCAAGGUUGCGAAUUUCAACAAGAGUUAAAUGACACGUGAAACUUUAUGGCUAUUUGAGAAUUGGACAUUUUGAAUGAGAGAUUUUAUCAUU